CGGGGGGUCCAAGCGUUGUUCGGAAUCACUGGGCGUAAAGCGCAUGUAGGUGGCUUUUCAAGUCAACUGUGAAAGCCCAGGGCCUAACCCUGGAAGUGCAGUUGAUACUGCUAAGCUUGAGUACGAGAGAGGAUAGUGGAAUUUCUGGUGUAGUGGUGAAAUACGUAGAUAUCAGAAGGAACAUCGGUGGCGAAGGCGGCUAUCUGGCUCGAUACUGACACUGAGAUGCGAAAGCGUGGGGAUCAAACAGGAUUAGAUACCCUGGUAGUCCACGCCGUAAACGAUGGAUACUUGUUGUUAGAGGUAUUGACCCCUUUAGUGACGAAGCUAACGCGUUAAGUAUCCCGCCUGGGGAGUACGGUCGCAAGAUUA
rnacentral:rRNA from 1 species